UCCUUAUGCAUAUUUAACGGUGUUUGUCUGCAGUGCCCAGAUGACGCGGGGCUGGAGGCUCGCAUGCGGGACCUGAACUGUGGUGGAGUAAAUCAUCCGCACUGUAACGCACCCCGCGCAGUGGCUCUCGUGGGGAGCCCCUUGCCAUUGCUCUAAACACGUGGGAUUUGGGACAAUAGCUGGAGUGGGUUAUCCGUUACUGUAGGCAGCACUUCCCUGUAUGGGCUUCGGGAUGCAGUUGGGGGCUGCGGAACAAAGCGGCAUCUAAUGUCAAGGAAGCGGAGAAAGUGCAUGUGUGUGUGAGACAGAGAAACAAAUGGAGAGCCUCGCACCUUACAUUUCUUUUCUGGCUUUACUGUGGACUCUGGAACAAAUAGGUUCCUUUUGACGAAGAAAUAGUUCUGCAGGUGUGCCGUGCCUGGACUUUGGAGAGCAUGGCACAGCCAUCUGAUCUGAAACCACCAUCCCUGUAGGUAGAAAUCCUCCUCUGUGUCCUACAAGAAAGGCAGCAUGGGGAAACUUGUGCUGACCAGACAUCUGGUAUCAAGGAGCAGAAGUCCACUUCACGUUACUGUGAAUGAAAGUUUGUUCCCAAACCAAAUACUUCAUGACGUUUAGCACUGGUGUCAAAUUGGUUUGAUCUAACCCAAGCCUAAAAUAAAGAUCUCUGCUCUGAUA